rnacentral:rRNA from 1 species
ACGCUAUCACUCCUACGGGAGGCAGCAGUGGGAAUCUUGCACAAUGGGCGAAAGCCUGAUGCAGCCAUGCCGCGUGAAUGAUGAAGGCCUUAGGGUUGUAAAAUUCUUUCGCCAGGGAUGAUAAUGACAGUACCUGGUAAAGAAGCCCCGGCUAACUUCGUGCCAGCAGCCGCGGUAAUACAGAAGGGGCUAGCGUUGUUCGGAAUUACUGGGCGUAAAGCGCACGUAGGCGGACUUUUAAGUCAGAUGUGAAAGCCCGGGGCUUAACCUCGGAAUUGCAUUUGAAACUGGCAGGCUAGAGUCUUGUAGAGGGGGUAGAAUUUCAGGUGUAGCGGUGAAAUGCGUAGAGAUCUGAAGGAAUACCAGUGGCGAAGGCGGCCCCUGGACAAAGACUGACGCUCAGAUGCGAAAGCGUGGGGAGCAAACAGGAUUAGAUACCCUGGUAG